rnacentral:lncRNA from 1 species
AUACAUAUCCAUGCAGUCACAGAAAGAAGUGGCCUGUGGCCUGGCCAGCACCGGCUGACCCAGGAACACAAGUCAAAGAGAGAAGCAAGACAGCAAUUCUGCACCCAGCCAGUGACUGGAGAUUCAGUUUGCAAACAGGCACCAGCAGCUCAGAGUUAUCAUAGCAAGAUUUCAAGAAUGUUCAGUGACCGGCAGGAGCACUGCUAGAGCUACUAAGAAUCUGGCAAUAUUGAUGUUUCCAUGUCUUUCUUCCUAUCCAGCCCCGCCACCACGCACACACCUUGUAGACUCCUCCUUCAUUGCUGUGUCUGCCCUGUAGAAUACAGCUGUUGGACUUCACCCCCUCUCUCAGUGACAUGCCACACCCCCAGGCCCCAAAGCCACUAUGCUACCAGUCCUAGGCAGCUGAAGGGCAUGUCACAGGAGAUGCUGCAUACUCAGGAUGGGGGAAACUGUUGCCUGCUCCUGGGAGCAAGCUGUUCUCUCUGCCAGUUGUCCAAACAAUGGAAAUUUCCAGGAUUCUUUGCUGCAGUUUUUCAAAGUUAAUGGACAUAGCUGACUUUUGAAAAAGCUAGCUGUUACCAGGGGCCAAGAGGAGUAUGAGAGAAAAAUGCUUACCUCCGGACUCUCCAAUGUGGAGGAAAAAUUCUGUCUAAAGAGAUGAGCAACAAUGACAAAAAUGCCCCCCUGCUCUUUAUAAAUCCUCAUUCUGGUUCUCACACCACAGGUUACCAGGACCCAGGUGGGAUGCUAAGACAGGGAGGCUAGACAGAACAAGAUAGGAUCU